AGGAAUCCCUCUUCGUUUGUCGAUUCCUUACCAUUCUUCACUCGGGGCGACUACGAGAACUAUAUCGCCAGACUGCAGAAAAUGCCUGACCAAUACCAGGAAUUCCAAACAUUGAUGAGGACUGCCAUGGAGCUAAACAGGACUUCCCAUAACCAGUCAUUGAUUCGUGUUGAGGAACAGUUCGAUGCCUUGAUGGGUCAGACCAAUGAAUCAGUGUUCUACGCUCCCUUUCUUGGUACCUUGGACAACGGUACAG